rnacentral:rRNA from 1 species
GAUGAACGCUGGCGGCGUGCUUAACACAUGCAAGUCGAACGAUGAAGCCCAGCUUGCUGAGUGGAUUAGUGGCGAACGGGUGAGUAACACGUGAGUAACCUACCCUUGACUCUGGGAUAAGCCUGGGAAACUGGGUCUAAUACCGGAUAGGAACGUCCACCGCAUGGUGGUUGUUGGAAAGAUUUAUCGGUCAUGGAUGGACUCGCGGCCUAUCAGCUUGUUGGUGAGGUAAUGGCUCACCAAGGCGACGACGGGCAGCCGGCCUGAGAGGGUGACCGGCCACACUGGGACUGAGACACGGCCCAGACUCCUACGGGAGGCAGCAGUGGGGAAUAUUGCACAAUGGGCGAAAGCCUGAUGCAGCGACGCCGCGUGAGGGAUGACGGCCUUCGGGUUGUAAACCUCUUUCAGUAGGGAAGAAGCGAAAGUGACGGUACCUGCAGAAGAAGCACCGGCUAACUACGUGCCAGCCGCCGCCGUAAUAC